UACGGGGGGGGGCAAGCGUUGUUCGGAAUUACUGGGCGUAAAGGGCUCGUAGGCGGCCAACUAAGUCAGACGUGAAAUCCCUCGGCUUAACCGGGGAACUGCGUCUGAUACUGGUUGGCUUGAGUUUGGGAGAGGGAUGCGGAAUUCCAGGUGUAGCGGUGAAAUGCGUAGAUAUCUGGAGGAACACCGGUGGCGAAGGCGGCAUCCUGGACCAACACUGACGCUGAGGAGCGAAAGCCAGGGGAGCAAAGCGGG
rnacentral:rRNA from 1 species